AAAGGAAUAGACGGGGGCCCGCACAAGCAGUGGAUUAUGUGGUUUAAUUCGAAGCAACGCGAAGAACCUUACCAGGACUUGACAUCCCUUGACCGCUUAAGAGAUUAAGCUUCCCUUCGGGGCAAGGAGACAGGUGGUGCAUGGUUGUCGUCAGCUCGUGUCGUGAGAUGUUGGGUUAAGUCCCGCAACGAGCGCAACCCCUAUAGCUAGUUGCCAUCAUUUAGUUGGGAACUCUAGCGAGACUGCCGUGGACAACACGGAGGAAGGUGGGGACGACGUCAAAUCAUCAUGCCCCUUAUGUCCUGGGCUACACACGUAAUACAAUGGCAACGACAGAGGGCAGCUACUCCGCGAGGACAAGCGAAUCCCUAAACGUUGUCUCAGUUCGGAUUGCAGGCUGCAACUCGCCUGCAUGAAGUCGGAAUUGCUAGUAAUGGCAGGUCAGCAUACUGCCGUGAAUACGUUCCCGGGCCUUGCACACACCGCCCGU
rnacentral:rRNA from 1 species